GUGUGUCAAAAUGGGUUAGGUUUAUGCUGUCCCUAUUUACUAAUGCUGGAUGAAUAUGGAUCACAGCAGGUACCAGGAUGCUGGAAAAGAAAGCAGGUUAAAUCAGUUUGAUGUCCCUGAGAUUAAAAGUAUCUGCUCUGUUUCUUAUUGACUGAGUCCUCUGGUGCUGAUGAAUUCAUAUGGGGGACUUCUGUUUUUUCUAGUGUUUAUCUGGAGGACAAAUCUUUCCUUUUUGUUAAAUCGAUGUUAUCUUCCUCUUUUAUUCUUUUUUUAAUCUGAAAACCAGAAUUCACUGGAAAGCUCUCUCACUCUUUUCUUCUCUCCCUUUCCCUCCUUCUCUUCCUCUCUCUCUCCUCUUUCUCAUUUUGACUUUUGGGAGGCUUUUUAACAUCAUAGAAAUACCAAGUUUGGUCUUUGUCACUUUAGUUUUUUCCUGGAGGAGCUCUGGGAAGUCUUGUGUUCUGGGUGUUCUGGCACUGCUGUAGAAAGAAUAAGGAUCUUGAACAAAGAAUUUCUUUGCCCAAAAUUGAAAUUUGUUGCUGAAGUUGCUAACAAAAGCAGAAGCAGAUGAACAAAAUUAUUCUAGACACUGUACAAUGUUUGUACACUAAUAGAUUGAAGAGAUAGAAACUGUUUAGGAAAAAAAAUGGUAAUUUUUGUUCAUAAGAACAAUGAGACAUUAAAGCAAUAAAAAUUAGAUACAAAUAAUAGUAGCACAAUUACUAGGUCGCUGUGCGAAUCAGUAUCGCACCUCUAUAAGGAAUACUUUGCUCUGUUGGCUAAGGUACCAUCACAAAGGUGAAAUGGGUUUUGAAAAUUAUCCUAAGUUUCUCAGCUCUUGCCACACUGAGAACAGCAAGAAUUCAUGAGUGGAUAGACCUGUUGGUAAGAAAAUCCAUGUCUGUUUACUGAGCCUAGCUAUUUCAAGAGAUUUACAGGAUGAACUUUGUCAUCUUUUGUGAAAGUCCAAAUAAAUCAUGUCUUCCAAUCUUCUUGUAUUCACUCCCUUGUUAUCACACCCAAUAAUUAAUGUGAACAAAGAAUGUGAAUAUCUUACAGAGGCACAGAUUUCUUUUACAGAAGCCAUGGUGAUCUGUCUCCAUCAUAUUAUUUUCAGCUAGGUCUUUUUAUUACUCUGUUUUUAAUUAGCAUUUUGACCAAUUUUCUUGGUGCUAAAGUAAUAAUUCUCAGCCCUGGAUUUCCCAGAAUAACCUUUACAGUAAAAUACUAUUUGCAACAUAGCUGUUUUCUGAGAGAGCAACUAUUUGAAGCAACUUUGAAAAUGUCUUUGAGGCCCAGAAGUCCUCCUGAAGCAAUGCCAAAAUACUCCCUAAAAUCAAGGCCAAACUGCUGGUGCAGCUUUUUCAGACAGAUCGUAACCACAGGAAUUUACCCCUUGUAUUAUUUUGUUUCUGACCUGCCAUCAUGCCGGCUUCCCCAGCCAGCUGGUUCAAAUGGCAGCCCCAUGGUCCCCUGGAUGUGCCCAUGGGCUGCGGGCCUGUCAGACCAGUGACCAUGGCUCCAGUCCCUGCACAACAUUUGGGUCUACACAGUGGAGGAAGUGCCCUCCACAGUGCAGCCUACAGGCUUGAACUUUUGGUCGUCCAGACUGGAUGAUGAUCAUCACAGUCACCUUCAUACUCACACAAGAAAUUCACUUAGUCAAAUGGAAAUGAAGGGGGUGUAGCUGAGACAGAUUUUUUCCUGAUAAGCUUAUCUGGAAUCUCUCUUGCUGGUCCAGAGGGUACACAUUCCUGAUUUGUAAAGUGUGCUCUUUUUGUAUAUUGGUUUUGAGUUUUAUCUCUAAAUUUGACAUGAAGUUUGCAUUUUAUAUACAGCUCCUAUAUACAGGAUGAAACAGGAAAUGCACUAAUGCUUGAAACUAUUUAUUGUUAUAUCUAGAUCUUAUUUGAUAGAAACUUUUUAUAUUAUUCUGACAAAAUCUAAAACUUCCACAUCACAUGGAAUGACUUGAGCAAUAGAAAAGGAAUGUUUAAUUGUAAAACUAAAUAAAAACAUAAAGUUUUAAAGCACAGAAUUUUCAAGUGUAUGAGACAAAGCAACAAUCUACCUUCUCAAAAUUGUGGAUGUCCCAUCACUGUAAGUGCUCAAAGCCAGGUUAGACGGGGCUUUGAGCAGACUAAUUUAGUGGAAGGUGAUCUCUAGGGUCCCUUUUAACCCAACAAUUCUAUGAUUCUCUUGGUGUGUAAUCCAACUUUUGGUCCAUCAGAUGAAUUUCCUCUCCUGUUGCCUUCGGGCAUGUUUUAAAGAACCAAGAAAGGUCAAAUAAUCAGCUCCAAAGUACACUAAAUAAAUAAUUUUAGCAAGUUUUGCCAUAAAUAUCAACAAAUAAAUAUGAGAAAUGUAAUGAAAAAAUGAAAAACAAGCGCUGUGUGAAGGAAGCCAUUUUUAAUCCAUUUUUUAAUAAAAGUAAUUAAGACAACUCUCUUACUUCUGAUGCUUUUAUGUGCUUUACUGAAUUUUCUUCUCCUACCAGGCUAAAUGAUGAGGAAGUCAGGUCUGAGUGUAAUUGCAGUGACAAUGUUUAGUUGAUGAUAUCCUAAAGUUUAGUAGUUAGCACCCUGUCCUCCAAAUGAGAAAUAUUUUUGCCUCUUUGAGAUGGAGCAGCAAACUGCCAGCAAGAAUAAUAACACCAGAGGCAGGCACAGCGGAUUUGGGAGAAGUUUUUAUGUUACUUCUUCUCAUGGCUCAUUCUGUGUGAAGUUUCACAUUGUGGGUACACUCGGUGGUCACCUAUAUUAGUCCUGCUGUGCACUUGGUCCUGCCUCUUGGCUGGAAAAGUCAAUUGCUUCCACAGCCUUUCACCUCCUAACAUUUUCUUUGAUUCUUCUGUGCCUGUCGUCGUUUUUAUGACCUAACGGAAAGUCUUCAGUUGGAAAACAUAAUUUAUAUUCUGAACUUACUAACAGGUCUGAAAAAGUCUGUUAGAAAUAAUACCUCCUCACUGGUAUUUGUAUAUAUGUGUCUUAUUUACUGUGAAGUUUAGGAGCUGUUCUUUUAGCUGUGCAUUUGUGCUGUACCUGGAAGUAUGGAGUCUCUUGAUCUUGUGCAUAAUACAAAAGACUAAUCUUAAAUAUUGAUAAAACAUUAUUUACUUCUUAAAAAAAAACAACUUCAUUGAGAUAUGAAUGUUAUUGUCAGUCUGAAAACUAAGCAGCAACCAUGGCUUACAUGUUCCUUUGACCAAAACACUAAGCAGUGAUUUAAAAAAAAGUAAAUCUGGUAAACAGUAAAUCUGGUAUGCAGCCAACUGAAGUAGAAAAGGGAAGAAGCAAAAGACUAGUAAAGACUAGUUCUGAGUAAAAGUCACGGAUCAGUUCCAAGUGUUAGUGGGCUAACAAUUAUUUUAAGAAACAUCUCUUACUUUAAGAGAGCUGAAAGAGACCAUCCCAUCAAUCAAGUAAAACCAGAAAAAGUAAAUAAUUAAAAAAAGCGCAGCAUAUUAAGUGCACUGCUUCUUCUUUCAGUUGCAUAUUUAAAACAAGCAUAUUUACGGCGGAAAAACUCCUUUAUGUCCUGUACUUUUGACAAGGAUUAGAAUUAAUGUUUCUUCCCCUUAUACAUAAUUUUUAAUCAAGUUCAUGGAAAUACUUUUUAUGGAUAGAGCUCAUAAAUCUGAUAAGGUUCAUAAAUUCAACUGGAGCAUAAGAGGUAUUAGAAACAAAACAAAACAAAAUUAAAAAGAAAUUAACUGAUUUGCAAAUGCAUAUAUUGUAUUAAGUGUGUUUGUGCAAAUCCAAAGACCUAUUGUACAUUCUUAAAAGAACAGUGCUGAACUAUUUCUUAAAACAGCAUAUUUGCAGAAGUAAGGCUCGUUAGUUUAUAAGGAAGACUUGCCAACCUAUAGUGAAGGAUAUUUGACAUGUCUGACUAUUGACUGGAGUUCAAACAACAAGAAACUGCUCAUAGCACUCUUCCAGUGAGAUUAUUCCCUUUGAAGGUCACAAAGGCAAGUCCACCAUUGCCAAGUCAUGAUGCAUCUGACACAACAUUUCUUUUUAGAAAAUCUCAACUAAGUGAUGGUAAAAGAAUCUAUGCAAGGGAAGGAAAGCAUGAAAGAAAGGGAGAAACUUUUGGGGUACCUUUGUUUUGAGCUCCAACAACGUUAAAGAACUCAAAGACCAGAAUAAUAUAAUCAUGAAGAUCCCAGGACAGAAUUAUUUGAGAAAAUGUGUCAUAUUGGAAACUGCUGGUUAAUUGUUUGGGGAUUUUUCUUCCCAUCCUUAUCAUUUCCUAUCUUUCAUGUUCAUGGACUAAACCAAAUGGACCCCAGAUGAAAAAAUUGGAUGGUAUAUUUGCAUGCAAAACAGAAUUUAAACUUUGUGUACGUUUGUGUUUAAAGUAAUGACAUCCCACAAUUCACAACAAAAUUCAAAAGUCUAUGUUCAAAAGUGCAGAGGAGGCACAACCUUCAAAGACUUCACUAAUUCACAAUUGGGGAACAUCCAAGCAAAGAAAAAAGGAUCAUUUCAAUAUUUCCCUUUUAGUGACACAUUAAAAGGUCCUGUGUUUUAAGGCUGAGCUGCAUAAAGCAGAAUUCAUUGAUAAGCAUGAAGAAAUUAAUUAUUUUAAAAUUCUGGAACCUGCAUUUUAAAAAUAAAAUAUUUUUUUGAAAGCCAAAGAAAAUGUAUUAAUUAAUUUGUACUGGCAUUAGUUUAACAUAGAUAUUUUAGAAGACCUCAGUCAGGAUUUCUUUUUCCACAGCUGUCUUGCUACAAGCAAAACAAUACAAUCUCCCCAAACCUUCCCUAGAGUGGAAAUUCAGCCUAUACACAGUAUUUUAGUUACAUGAUCCCACUCCUGUGCUGAGCAUAGUCAAACACACAACAAAGUCAACAGCUCAUGUCAUUCUUAAAGUCAUUUUGAUAUCAGAAGGAAUGAAAGCACAACUCUUUUUGUGAAUUUUCAUUCUCUGCCCCUUAUGAUGGAAAUGGGUCAGCUAUAUGAAAGGAAAUGUGUACAUGGUUAGACUUCUCACUGAUAAAAUCGUGACCAGCCUUUCUGAGACAAAAGUAACUUAAAAUCUGCACAGUUCUAGGUUGAAAAGCUAGGGGCCAGAUGGUCUGUCUGCCUUUCCUUUACAUGAUGUAAGGGAAGGCUAUAAACUUGGUUCAGCUGGCAGUCUACUCCAGUAUUGCUACAAAGCUAAGAAAAGCAGUGAGACCACAUGAAGAAGUGCAAAUAGCAUUUUUUAAUGAAUUUUUGCUCUCAAUAUUCAAAGUAAUAUUUUGGGGGGUUCUUGUUUAAUGUUUAUAUAUAGGGACUAAUGCUAUGAAGAAUAUUCUCCUCCAGAUUCGAAGACUCUAACUCAGAGUAAAGUUUGAACGUAAAGAAUAAAGAAGAAAAAAAAUUUUUUUAAGUUAUUCCUUAAUUAAAUGAAAAGAGCUCUGGGAGUUCAAUAUUGACUUAAAGGAAAUAUCAAUUCAAAUUUUAUGAAAAUAAAAACUUGAACUGCCCUUGACUCUGCUCAUUAAUGGAAAAAAAAAAUCAAAAUUACCAUGAGUCUACCUGCAUUUGUGAAUUAUGCAUUAGUUUAAAACAGAUUUUGUUUUAAUACAUCAUGGUAUUGCUAAGUACGUGAAGAUGUAAUAGUUUUCCCGACUGUGAUGACAGGUUUUCUGUCCUUUUUUUCUGUCUAUUUUUGGAAAUGCUCUAUCGACCUCAAAACGCUUUAACAUACAAUGGGAAUAAUUGAUUGUUCUGCGAAAGGAAACUACCUGGUUUUAAAAGGAUACAAAGGGGUCUCAUUGUUCAGGAAGGAUUUUUAAAGAAGACAAUAAGACUUUCUGGUUUGAGAGUGUGGGUAGGCUUGAUCUGGAAAUGUGUUUGUUGGUCUACAAAGGAAGGAUGCAGGUAGUCGUGUACACACACGGAGGUGAACGUAGGUAUGAAUGAACGAGAGAAAAGCACAAAGCAGGUGAGCAGGUGCUCUCUAGUGUUAAAAGUGGUGAUCAAACAGAUGAUGGUAAGAAACAUGGGAAAGGCAGACUGACUUCAAAAUUGCUGAAAACAACUUUAGCUCUUUCACAAGUAUGAGGAAGAACCAGUAGAAGAACUCCCUUUGUACACAACUACUCUGGGUGAAACACGCCUAGGAGCCUGCCUACCAGAGUGCCCAAACCUACUUGUUGACUAUCCCUGUGCCAAAUUAUCCAUUUCAACUUAAAAUAAAGCGACUGUCCAUUUAAACCA